GAUGAACGCUGGCGGCGUGCCUAACACAUGCAAGUCGAGCGAACACACGAUGAGCUCUUUCCUUUGACGUUAGCGGCGGACGGGCGAGUAACGCGUGCAUCACCUACUUCUUUUUCUUGGGUAAUUUCGGGAAACCACUGCCAAUACUGGCUCAUAUAUCCUACCGCAUGGUUCAAUAGUGCAUGACGCCUUUGCUGUCUCAUUUAGCCGGUUCCGCGUCGGAUUAGCUAGUUGGUAAGGUAACGGCCUACCAAGGCAACGAUGCGUAGCUGACCUGAGAGGAUGAUCGGCCACACUGGAACUGAGACACGGUCCAGACUCCUACGGGAGGCAGCAGUGGGGAAUAUUCGGCAAUGGGCGAAAGCUUGACGCAGCCACGCCGCGUGGGUGAAGAAGGUCUUCGGGUUGUAAAGCUCUUUUGUUGGGAAAGAAAAGCAGCGGGAGAAUCCAUGGCCGUGUUGACGGUACCUAAAGAAUAAGCAACGGCUAACUUCGUG
rnacentral:rRNA from 1 species